AGCUUUCAUGAAAUUACUUAGUACAGAAUUCCAGAGUCUGGAAAUUGUGAAUCCUUCUGACAAUUAUCAAAGAGACGUCAGCUCCUAAGUCUAGUCGCUGGGAUAGCAAUUGUUAAAAUACCUGGCAGAGCCAUUUUCAUGGGACUCGGAGUCUGUUCUUCCUAGCAUGUGGCCUAAAGACUGCUGGUGUUUAUGUGUACAAAGGAAUAAAAUCAGCAAAUCUUUCCAAAUAAGUACUUGAGACUACUCUAUGCCCAGUGGUCUACUUUAUAUUGCAGUGCUUCAUUGACCUGACAAAGAUACUGGACAGAUUCACAUGGAAGAAAAUGAUUAGAAAUGAGCAUGAGCAUCCAUGGGCACUGGGUUCAGAAGAGCCACCAUAAGGUGAGCAGCUCUCUCUACCACAGGUGCCUGCUGUGAUGUGCUACCUGUCAAAGGCCCAAAAGCAAAGGAACCAUUGGCUAUGGACUGAAAUCUUUAAAACUGAAAUGGCUUGCUCCUCAUCUCUAACAAGUGAAGAGUUCUGGAAAGCACUGGAGCACUCAGAAAGAGCUAUACAAAUUCACAAAGCAGUAGAAACUCCCUUAAUUAUGAUGCACAAAGCUGACUCACCUAAUUAACCAAUACUCAGAACUCUGUCUGUAAAAUAUACUGAGUGAUGCUCCCACCUACAGUGAGGUGUGGAUGAGAUGACUGGAGGACAUCAGGAAAAUUGUCAGAGAUCACCUCCUCCCCAUACUGCUCCUCAAGGGUCCUUACGUUCUGUCAUCUUUAAAAAACAGGAACUGGAAAUCAUAAAUGUUGCAUUCUGGUUGAAAAUGAUGGCAUGGAACACUGAUGGCUGGUCACCCAUCCAAAAAUAAAGACUGACUGUUGACCAAACAAAAGAUUAUUCAAUGAAU